rnacentral:rRNA from 1 species
CCCUUAGAUGUUCUGGGCCGCACGCGCGCUACACUGACGGAUUCAACGAGCUUACAACCUUGGCCGAAAGGUCUGGGUAAUCUCCAAAAUCCGUCGUGAUGGGGAUAGAUUAUUGCAAUUAUUAAUCUUCAACGAGGAAUGCCUAGUAAACGCAAGUCAUCAGCUUGCGUUGAUUACGUCCCUGCCCUUUGUACACACCGCCCGUCGCUCCUACCGAUUGAAUGGUCCGGUGAAGCGUUUGGACUAUGGUUUUCUGAUGGUCCGCCGUUGGAUUACCGUGGGAAGUUCGUUAAACCUUAUCAUUUAGAGGAAGGAGAAGUCGUAACA